GAAAAAUUCCAGGAGCAAGACUUGAGGUCUGUCACUCCGUGAGGAUCUGGAGGGGGACUGCCUUCUCAGAAACUUGAAGGUGAAGUGCUGAUUGUAAUUUUAGAAGGACAGCUAAUUGGCUUUUUUAAAAGAUCGCCCAGGGCCUUGGCCUAAGAGCUGGAAGCUGUUCGGAGUGAUAGAGAAGUCAUGGAAGCAGCUGAGAAGGAGGAAAUCAGUGUCAAAGAUGAAGCUGUGGAUAAAAACAUUUUCAGAGACUGCAACAGGAUCGCAUUUUACAGGCGUCAGAAACAGUGGCUUUCCAAGAAGUCCACCUAUCAGGUAUUACUAGACUCAGUAACGACAGUUGAAGACAGCACCAGGUUCCAAAUCAUCAAUGAAGCAAGUAAGGUUCCUCUCCUGGCUGAAAUUUAUGGUAUAGAAGGAAACAUUUUCAGGCUUAAAAUUAAUGAAGAGAGUCCCCUAAAACCCAGGUAUGAAGUUCCUGACGUCCUCACAAGCAAGCCAAGCACUGUAAGACUGAUUCCAUGCUCAGGGGACACAGGCAGUCUGAUACUGGCAGAUGAAAAAGGAGACCUCAGGUGUCAUAUCACAGCAAACCCAUUCAAGGUAGACUUGGUGUCUGAAGAAGAGGUUGUGAUGAGCAUAAAUUCCCUGGGCCAAUUAUACUUUGAACAUCUACAGAUUCUUCACAAACAAAGAACUGCUAAAGAAAACGAGGAGGAGGCAUCUGUGGACACCUCUCAGGAAAAUCAAGAGGAUCUGGGCCUUUGGGAAGAGAAAUUUGGAAAAUUUGUGGAUAUCAAAGCUAAUGGCCCUUCUUCCGUUGGUUUGGAUUUCUCCUUGCAUGAAUUUGAGCAUCUGUAUGGGAUCCCACAACAUGCAGAAUCACACCGACUUAAAAAUACUAGGGAUGGAGAUGCUUACCGUCUUUAUAACCUGGAUGUCUAUGGAUACCAAAUAUAUGAUAAAAUGGGCAUUUAUGGUUCAGUACCUUAUCUCCUGGCUCACAAACUGGGCAGAACUAUAGGUAUUUUCUGGCUGAAUGCCUCAGAAACACUGGUGGAGAUCAAUACAGAGCCUGCAGUAGAGUACACACUGACCCAGAUGGGUCCAGUUGCUGCUAAACGAAAGGUCAGAUCUCGAACUCAUGUGCACUGGAUGUCAGAAAGUGGAAUCAUUGAUGUUUUUCUGCUGACAGGACCUACACCUUCUGAUGUCUUCAGACAGUACUCACACCUUACAGGCACACAAGCCAUGCCCCCUCUUUUCUCUUUGGGCUACCACCAGUGCCGCUGGAAUUAUGAAGAUGAGCAGGAUGUAAAAGCAGUGGAUGCAGGGUUUGAUGAGCAUGACAUUCCUUAUGAUGCCAUGUGGCUGGACAUAGAGCACACUGAGGGCAAGAGGUACUUCACCUGGGACCAAAAAAGAUUCCCCAACCCCAAGAAGAUGCAAGAGCUGCUCAGGAGCAAAAAGCGUAAGCUUGUGGUCAUCAGUGAUCCCCACAUCAAGAUUGAUCCUGACUACUCAGUAUAUGUGAAGGCCAAAGAUCAGGGCUUCUUUGUGAGGAAUCAGGAAGGGGAAGACUUUGAAGGGGUGUGCUGGCCUGGUCUCUCCUCUUACUUGGAUUUCACCAAUCCCAAGGUCAGAGGGUGGUAUUCAAGUCUUUUUGCUUUCCCUGUGUAUCAGGGAUCUACGGACAUCCUCUUCCUUUGGAAUGACAUGAAUGAGCCCUCUGUCUUUAGAGGGCCAGAACAAACCAUGCAGAAGAAUGCCAUUCAUCAUGGCAAUUGGGAGCACAGAGAACUCCACAACAUCUACGGUUUUUAUCACCAAAUGGCUACUGCAGAAGGACUGAUACAACGAUCUGAAGGGAAGGAGAGACCCUUUGUUCUUACACGUUCUUUCUUUGCUGGAUCACAAAAGUAUGGUGCCGUGUGGACAGGUGACAACACAGCAGAAUGGAGCUACCUGAAAAUUUCUAUCCCAAUGUUACUCACUCUCAGCAUUACUGGGAUCUCUUUUUGUGGAGCUGACAUAGGUGGGUUCAUUGGGAAUCCAGAGACAGAGCUGCUAGUGCGUUGGUACCAGGCUGGAGCCUACCAGCCUUUCUUCCGUGGCCAUGCUACUAUGAACACCAAGCGGCGGGAGCCCUGGCUCUUUGGGGAGGAAUACACCCGGCUCAUCCGAGAAGCCAUCAGAGAGCGCUAUGGCCUCCUGCCAUAUUGGUAUUCUCUGUUCUACCAUGCACAUGUGGCUUCCCAACCUGUUAUGAGGCCUCUGUGGGUAGAGUUCCCCAAUGAACUAAAGACUUUUGAUAUGGAAGAUGAAUACAUGCUGGGGAGUGCAUUGUUGGUUCAUCCAGUCACAGAACCAAAAGCCACCAUAGUUGAUGUGUUUCUGCCAGGAUCGAAUGAGGUCUGGUAUGACUGUAAGACAUUUGCUUGUUGGGAAGGAGGGUGUACUGUAAAGAUUCCAGUAGCCUUGGACACUAUACCAGUGUUUCAGCGAGGUGGAAGUGUGGUACCAAUAAAGACAACUGUAGGAAAAUCCACAGGCUGGAUGACUGAAUCUUCCUAUGGACUCCGGGUUGCUCUUAGCACUAAGGGUUCUUCAGUGGGUGAGUUAUAUCUUGAUGAUGGCCAUUCAUUCCAGUACCUCCACCAGCAGCAAUUUUUGCACAGGAAGUUUUCAUUCUGUUCCAGUGUUUUGAUCAAUAGUUCUGCCGACCAGAGGGGUCAUUAUCCCAGCAAGUGUGUGGUGGAGCAAAUCUUGGUCUUAGGCCUCAGGAAGGAGCCAUCUUCUGUGAUUACCCACUCAUCCGAUGGUAAAGAGCAGCCUGUGGCUUUUAUGUAUUGUGCCAAAACAUCCACCCUGAGUCUGAAGAAGCUCUCACUCAACAUUGCCACUGACUGGGAGGUCCACAUCAUAUGACAAAGAACUGCCCUUGGUGAUGGUUCCUAAAAAAGCUCUAAAAUGAAUACAUAGUAUGUCUUUCCUUCAAGAUGUAAAUGUCAAGGAAUGAGUUGACAAAUCAGUUUAAAAACGGAAACUACCCAACAGAAAAAUCUAAUGGAGCAAAACGAAUGGCGCCUUGCCCUUUCUGUGUUUGAUAUACCUACCUGCUCUGACAAGAGGCUCACCAAUGUCACACACUGCUGUUAGUUACUCACAGAUGGUGCUGGCUGAGACAGCUAAGGAAAGAAAGCUCAGUGGGUGUGUGGCCCAAAACAGCUCCUCCGCCUGGAGCAGAUGAGCCGAGACUCUUUGAUUGCACCGGCAAAGCCAAAAGUGUAAGAAAUUUCUCUUUGUGUAGGAAAAUUUCAUUUACCAGAUAUAUAACACAUGUUUAUUAAGGGCCUUCUAUAUGCCUAAACCUGAGAGGGAAAUGGGAACCCAGUUCCCAGCUUCACGGUCUUAUGGGCAAACAGGAAGUUAAAUAAACAGAAACAAUAAACUGUGGGUCUGUGCUGUGAAUUUCAGGGUGGGAUAGAAUGCUGGUUUGGGACCCAAACUUACAACAGUGGGGGAAGGAAACCCUACCUUUGCUGUCUGUGCCAUUGGUGACUUUGAAGGUGGAGGUCCAUCUUUUUAGUGCAGGAAGAUAGGCCAGCCUCUGAUUGGAGAUGCUGUAUACUACGUGAGCCUGGGCAGAUUAUACCUAUUUCUGUGCUGUCCACAUGCAGAUACUCAGUUAAUGCCCAUUGAGUGAAUGCUGAUUUGUGUCAGCAAAUGAAUGUAUCAUUUAACCUGACCUAACUCCAAAGUAAUAUUAAAUUCAGGUUUUCUCUAACAACACCAUUUAUUGAGUGCCUAAGACAAUCCUGGCACUAUGUUAAAUGCAUUACAUAAAUUAUUUAAUCAUUACAGAAACCUAAUAACAGAAUGACUGUAAUUGUACCAAUUUUGUAGGUGAGAAAUCUGAGACAGAACGGAAGAAAUAACUCAGCUAAAGUUACACAGGUACAGCCAGUAAGGGGCCAACCUAGACUUUGAACUGAGGUGGUCAGCCUCCAGAGACCGCUGUCCUCUAUUCUGCCUCCCCAGUUAAAGAGCGCUGGGCAUUUUCUUGGAGGGACAGAAGGCUAGGCUGAUGGUCCUGCAAGCCCAGACAUAGAGUUCUUCAAAACUGCAACCCCAGGGAUCAGGAGGCUGAUAGUACUCACUAUUUUACCUGUCACUUCCUACCUUCUUCCAUAGCCGCUAACCUGGGAUCACUGAGACAGGUUGCAUGGAAACAGGCACGACUGCAGUCUAGGACAUGCCUCCACUCUGCCAUAGUUUAAAUGUGGUCACCUCCUUUUUGGAGCUGGUAUUGUGGGUAGAAGGCAAGGUGGAGGCCAGGCAGGCACUUCCCUUCCCCAGAGCCACUUAUGCUUCAUCUAAGAGCUCUGAAACCGGCUUCUUAGAUGUGGCAUCCCAGGAUUUGACAGGCAGUCUGGUUCAGUAUCCAGUUCCAACUUAUGUCUCAGAUACCUAAUGUGGUGUGGCUGAUCUAGUCAACAUAUAACCUGUACAGUAAGUUCUCACUUAAGAUCGUUGAUAGGUUCUUGUAAACUGUGACUUUAAGCAAAACAUAUUGUGUGCUAUAGGGACAUAACUCUUGUUUAUAUCAGUUAGCUUGGUUUUGCUACACAGUACAUCAUUUUGCUUAAAGCCACAGUUUACAAGAACCUAUUAAUGACGUUAAAUGAGGAUUUACUGUGCCCAGGUACACUUUUUGUAGCAGAUUCAGUCCUAGUGUUUCUUUUGGGGGGUGGGGAGAAACAAGAGGUGGCAAGGUCAAGUACGCAGGUAGUGACAGGGAGUUUCUCAACCAGGGACUCUGAUGAGUAUGAUUUUCCGUGCAGACAUUUCCAAUGAACACUGACCCAGAACAUUCUAGAAAAGAUGCCAAAUCUAACAUUGAAUAAUGUUCUGAUAUCCUAAAGUUUUAGGAAUGAAAAUCAUGUUCUCUAAAAUUCACAGAAUAUUUUCCUAGAAUUCAGUACCUCCCGUUCACCCUAACUAGCUUCUUUGCAAUACUGUUUUCCAUUCAUUUGGUGGCCAGUAUUUGGGUGGUCUAUAUAACUGCCUACUCAGUAACAUGUCAGCAGUUCUCAGCUAAUUUCCAGCGUUCACCUUACUCAGAUACUCCCUUUUCAUUUUCUGACAACACUAGCACUUCAUUGCAACAGAGAUGUCCCUAGCCAGGUUCUCCUUUCUCUACCAUGCAGGCUCUCUUGCCCUCAUACUCACAGUGUUUCUUCACAUCUAUUUUUAGUUUUCCUGGCUCAAGCUUCUUCAGGCCACUGAAACACAACCCUCACUCUCUUUCUCUCUCCCUCUGACAUGCAUGCUGCUGAUAGGAGCCCCCAGGUAAACAUUGCUUCAGAAAUCCUUUAGCACUCCUUUCUCAGGAAAACUUAUGUCUUCAGGAUUACAGCUCAAUUUUUAAGAUGGACAUAACCCUGUACGACCUUCUGAUGGGCUUUCAACUUUGAACUGGAUAUGGACACUUUUCUCUCAGAUGACAGAAUUACUCCAACUUCCCCUUUACAGUUGCUUCCUUUCCUUGAAGAUAGCUGUAUCUUGUUUUCUUUAAAAAGUUUUUUAUUCCAGAGUCACUUGCCAU